UACGGGGGGGGCAAGCGUUGUUCGGAAUUACUGGGCGUAAAGGGCGCGUAGGCGGCCUGCUAAGUCGGAUGUGAAAUCCCUCGGCUCAACCGAGGAACUGCAUCCGAUACUGGCGGGCUUGAAUCCGGGAGAGGGAUGUGGAAUUCCAGGUGUAGCGGUGAAAUGCGUAGAGAUCGGGAGGAACAUCCGUGGCGAAGGCGACUUCCUGGCCUGUUCUUGACGCUGAGGCGCGAAAGCUAGGGGAGCAAACGGGG
rnacentral:rRNA from 1 species